rnacentral:rRNA from 1 species
AUUGAACGCUGGCGGCAGGCCUAACACAUGCAAGUCGAGCGGAUGAAGGGAGCUUGCUCCUGGAUUCAGCGGCGGACGGGUGAGUAAUGCCUAGGAAUCUGCCUGGUAGUGGGGGAUAACGUCCGGAAACGGGCGCUAAUACCGCAUACGUCCUGAGGGAGAAAGUGGGGGAUCUUCGGACCUCACGCUAUCAGAUGAGCCUAGGUCGGAUUAGCUAGUUGGUGGGGUAAAGGCCUACCAAGGCGACGAUCCGUAACUGGUCUGAGAGGAUGAUCAGUCACACUGGAACUGAGACACGGUUCAGACUCCUACGGGAGGCAGCAGUGGGGAAUAUUGGACAAAGGGCGAAAGCCUGAUCCAGCCAUGCCGCGUGUGUGAAGAAGGUCUUCGGAUUGUAAAGCACUUUAAGUUGGGAGGAAGGGCAGUAAGUUAAUACCUUGCUGUUUUGACGUUACCAACAGAAUAAGCACCGGCUAACUUCGUG